UAGGCACAAAGACGGUUCGGCACUGCCGUU
rnacentral:sRNA from 1 species